rnacentral:tRNA from 1 species
AAGAUAGCUCAGUUGGUAGAGCGGAGGACUAAAAAUCCUCGUAUCACUAGUUCAAAUCUAGUUCUU